AUUGAACGCUGGCGGCAGGCCUAAUACAUGCAAGUCGAGCGAAGCGGGGACGGGUGAGUAACACGUGGAUAACCUCCUAUAAGACUGGGAUAAUUUCGGGAACCCGGAGCUAACCUCGAUACUUCUAGAUGGAUCUGAGCUGCUUUAGCUAGUUGGUAAGGUAACGGCUUACCAAGGCGACGAUGCAUAGCCGACCUGAGAGGGUGGUCGGCCACACUGGGACUGAGACACGGUCCAGACGCCUACGGGAGGCAGCAGUAGGGAAUCUUGCGCAAUGGGCGAAAGCCUGACGGAGCAAUGCCGCGUGAGUGAUGAAGGUCUUAGGGUCGUAAAACUCUAUUAUUAGGGAAGCGGUACCGAAUCAAAAAGCAACGGCUAACUACGUGCCAGCAGCCGCGGUAAUUC
rnacentral:rRNA from 1 species